UUUGUAUUAUUACAAAACCAGACAGCAUCUAACUCAAAUCUGUCACUUGUAUCCCCUGCUCGUGGACACCUAAACAUAUGCUACGCAUGUGGCUUGUCAACAGCAAGUCGCAGAACUCAUAGAGUCAGUCAAGAUAGUUCCUCAAAGGAAUGUUAUACUAAGAUGGACACCAGUACAUCACGUGUUGCAUUUGGAACGAGUUUGUGUUCCUUGUUGGGCGGCUGCAUCAAGACAAGUCCGGAGGCAACCCGUUGCUGGCAGUAGCCAACACACUGUGGAGUCUGCACCGGAGACUGGUAUCAUGGAUGGAAACAUAAUUACAGAUAUGAUGAUUCCUGUACCACCACCACUGCCACCGCUUUAAUGAUAUAAGCGCUCCAGCACAAUUUCUAGACAACAUAUUCCUUGAAGAAUAAAUGUCUAUUAUUUUAA